CGGAGGGUCAUUACAGAGUUAUCCAACUCCCAAACCCAUGUGAACUUAUCUCUUUGUUGCCUCGGCGCAAGCUACCCGGGACCCAGCGCCCCGGGCGGCCCGCCGGCGGACAAACCAAAACUCUUGUUAUCUUAGUUGAUUAUCUGAGCGUCUUAUUUAAUAAGUCAAAACUUUCAACAACGGAUCUCUUGGUUCUGGCAUCGAUGAAGAACGCAGCGAAAUGCGAUAAGUAAUGUGAAUUGCAGAAUUCAGUGAAUCAUCGAAUCUUUGAACGCACAUUGCGCCCAUUAGUAUUCUAGUGGGCAUGCCUGUUCGAGCGUCAUUUCAACCCCUAAGCACAGCUUACUGUUGGGACUCUACGGCCCCCGUAGUUCCCCAAAGCCAUUGGCGGAGUGGCAGUAGUCCUCUGAGCGUAGUAAUUCUUUAUCUCGCUUUUGUUAGGCGCUGCCCCCCCGGCCGUUAAACCCCCCAAUUUUUUCUGGUUGACCUCGGAUCAGGUAGGAAUACCCGCUGAACUUAAGCAUAUCAAUAAGCGGAGGAAAAGAAACCAACAGGGAUUCCCCUAGUAACGGCGAGUGAAGCGGGAACAGCUCAAAUUUGAAAUCUGGCCCUUGGGUCCGAGUUGUAAUUUGUAGAGGAUGCUUUUGGUGCGGUGCCUUCCGAGUUCCCUGGAACGGGACGCCUUAGAGGGUGAGAGCCCCGUACGGUUGGACGCCUAGCCUCUGUAAAGCUCCUUCGACGAGUCGAGUAGUUUGGGAAUGCUGCUCUAAAUGGGAGGUAUAUUUCUUCUAAAGCUAAAUACUGGCCAGAGACCGAUAGCGCACAAGUAGAGUGAUCGAAAGAUGAAAAGCACUUUGAAAAGAGGGUUAAAUAGCACGUGAAAUUGUUGAAAGGGAAGCGUUUAUCACCAGACUUUUUCUGGGGGGAUCAUCCGGUGUUCUCACCGGUGCACUUCCCCCAGUUGAGGCCAGCAUCGGUUUUCGGAGGGGGAUAAAAGCUUCGGGAAUGUGACUCCCUCGGGAGUGUUAUAGCCCGUUGCAUAAUACCCUUCUGGGGACCGAGGUUCGCGCAUCUGCAAG
rnacentral:rRNA from 1 species